GAUGAACGCUGGCGGCGUGCCUAAUACAUGCAAGUCGAGCGAACAGACGAGGAGCUUGCUCCUCUGACGUUAGCGGCGGACGGGUGAGUAACACGUGGAUAACCUACCUAUAAGACUGGGAUAACUUCGGGAAACCGGAGCUAAUACCGGAUAAUAUAUUGAACCGCAUGGUUCAAUAGUGAAAGACGGUUUUGCUGUCACUUAUAGAUGGAUCCGCGCCGCAUUAGCUAGUUGGUAAGGUAACGGCUUACCAAGGCGACGAUGCGUAGCCGACCUGAGAGGGUGAUCGGCCACACUGGAACUGAGACACGCUCCAGACUCCUACGGGAGGAAGCAGUAGGGAAUCUUCCGCAAUGGGCGAAAGCCUGACGGAGCAACGCCGCGUGAGUGAUGAAGGUCUUCGGAUCGUAAAACUCUGUUAUUAGGGAAGAACAAAUGUGUAAGUAACUAUGCACGUCUUGACGGUACCUAAUCAGAAAGCCACGGCUAACUACGUG
rnacentral:rRNA from 1 species